AUGGGGGUGGACACCUCUUUCAAACUCUGUCUCUCUCUUUUUCUCACGUCAUAUGUAAUGACCAGACAAAGGUCUGGUGUUUAUGAGGAAGAGGUAUGGACCCCUAAAUCAGUUUGUUUGCUGGUUUCGCCCGUGGAAAUGACUGCGUGCUGCACAGAGAGGGACCAUUCAGAUGCAGAUUUAAAACAGACUGUGAAACAGUCAUCCUAGCCAUACAGAUCCAGUCUGUAUCCAGAUCAGAUGGUCAUCGUGGCCACCCAGAUCCAGAUCAAUCGGCCCUGCAUUAAUGCAUUAAUGUUGAGUUUUAUUAUUUUUGUAAAUUGUACUCUAUUCACAGAUUGGAUUUUUAUUUAUUACAGUUUUUCACUUCUGAAAAGUGAAUACAAAUUAUACUUGACUGAUUUACAGCAGUGAAUUAAUGCCAUUAAAAGAUAAUAAGGUAUCACUGUUUAUUGCUGAUUUUAAAGCUUACUGAACUUUAAAUGAUUUGGACAUCUACAGUUCUACAUAUACUGUAAAUGCACAACAUAAGAUUGGCCCCUCUUAGAAUCUCCCCUGGAUACCUGCAAUGCUAUGGCCUUUGUGUAGAUUAGGGGUGCAUGAUAAAUAUCGGCCGAUAAUUAAUGCGCAUGUCGUCAGUAAAGCCAGUUCUCUAAUCAGCGGUAAAUUCCAUCAGGUGCUUGAUUUCACAUAGAGCAGUUGUUACUACACAGAGCCAUUGUUAACUGACAAUCUGCGCAAAUCCACGCUGAAAACUGGCUUUACUGAAGAGAUGCGCAUUAAUUAUCGGCCGAUAUUUAUCAUGCACCCCUAGUGUAGAUAUUUAAAGAUGGCCAUCUUUAAGCAUGACUUGAAAUGAAAUGGUAACACUCCAUUUGUUACGUUAACCACAACAGCUAAAGUCUGUCUACACUGGAUGUGAUAAAGUGACUUUUGCAAAUCAUUUGAAUUUUGUGUCAGUAAAUCACCGCGUCAGAUCCAGUGUAGACAGCAUCACUGAUUUUAAUGGGUUCUAUAGUAUUUUGUUGCAUCGUGCUGUGCCGGAGAAGACACGGUUUAAGACUAUGUUUUUUAAAUAUGCCGCAUAUAUCUAACAAAUCUAAUGUUGUUGUCUCUUAUGCGCAAAAUAGUAACUGUAAUAUUGUGAAAUUUGAAUACAAUUUAAAAUAACUGUCUUCUAUUUGAAUUAUGUAAUCUUAAAAUGGAAGGC
ensembl:lncRNA